rnacentral:rRNA from 1 species
AGGGAAUCUUCCGCAAUGGACGAAAGUCUGACGGAGCAACGCCACGUGAGUGAAGAAGGCCUUCGGGUCGUAAAGCUCUGUUGCCGGGGAAGAACAAGUGCCGUUCGAACAGGGCGGUGCCUUGACGGUACCCGGCCAGAAAGCCACGGCUAACUACGUGCCAGCAGCCGCGGUAAUACGUAGGUGGCAAGCGUUGUCCGGAAUUAUUGGGCGUAAAGCGCGCGCAGGCAGCUUCUUAAGUCUGAUGUGAAAGCGUGCGGCUCAACCGCAAGCGGUCAUUGGAAACUGGGAGGCUUGAGUGCAGAAGAGGAGAGUGGAAUUCCACGUGUAGCGGUGAAAUGCGUAGAGAUGUGGAGGAACACCAGUGGCGAAGGCGACUCUCUGGGCUGUAACUGACGCUGAGGCGCGAAAGCGUGGGGAGCAAAC